rnacentral:rRNA from 1 species
CCGAUGUCUGAUUAGCUAGUUGGUAAGGUAAUGGCUUACCAAGGCGACGAUCAGUAGUUGGUCUGAGAGGACGGCCAGCCACACUGGGACUGAGACACGGCCCAGACUCCUACGGGAGGCAGCAGUGGGGAAUUUUGGACAAUGGGCGCAAGCCUGAUCCAGCAAUGCCGCGUGAGUGAAGAAGGCCUUCGGGUUGUAAAGCUCUUUCAGUCGAGAAGAAAAGGUUGUGACUAAUAAUCAUAACUCAUGACGGUAUCGACAGAAGA